CACGGGGGGAGCAAGCGUUGUUCGGAAUCACUGGGCGUAAAGGGCGUGUAGGCGGUCAAGUAAGUGGAAUGUGAAAGCCCCCGGCUUACCCGGGGAUCUGCAUCCCAAACUGCUUGGCUUGAGUACGGGAGAGGAUAGGGGAAUUCCUGGUGUAGCGGUGAAGUGCGCAGAUAUCGGGAGGAACACCAAUGGCGAAGGCAGCUUGCUGGGACGGUACUGACGCUGAGGCGCGAAAGCGUGGGGAGCAAACAGG
rnacentral:rRNA from 1 species